rnacentral:rRNA from 1 species
AAAAUAAUUUGGCAGUGAGCGACUCUUUUUAGGGGAAGGUGUGGUGUAAAGGAUGUUCCGCCUAAUAAUUUACUUUCGUUAUGUUGGUGUAUAUCUGGUUUAAUAUUAUCGUUGAGUAAGUGAGUUUGUGUAGUUUUAUUUAAGCCAAGUCUAUGUGCUGCUUAUGAAAGUAUUCAUGCGUUACAUUUAUAAGGUUUUGGUUGUAAUACUAAAAUAUUUAGGACUUAAAAGUAAUGUUCAAUAAGUUUGUGAGUGUGAAGUAAGUUUAGCUCAGG